rnacentral:rRNA from 1 species
UACAGAGGUCCCAAGCGUUGUUCGGAUUCAUUGGGCGUAAAGAGCGUGUAGGCGGCCCGGUAAGUCCGCUGUGAAAGUCGGGGGCUCAACCCUCGAAUGCCGGUGGAUACUGUCGGGCUAGAGUGCGGAAGAGGCGAGUGGAAUUCCUGGUGUAGCGGUGAAAUGCGCAGAUAUCAGGAGGAACACCGAUUGCGAAGGCAGCUCGCUGGGACGUAACUGACGCUGAGACGCGAAAGCGUGGGGAGCAAACAGG